UUGACCUAAUCCCCCACCCCCACCUGGCCAGACUUUCCGCUCCCACAGGGCACCCGCUGCAGGUGUGGCAUCAGAGGGCACGCCCAGGAGCAGGGGCUGGCGGGGAUGACGGCCCGCACGGGGGAGCUGACUGAUGGGUCAGGGAACAUCCCCGCCGGCCCAGCUGCAACAAGCCUGGAGAGACGGUGAAGCCAGUGGGUGUGCGUGAGAGUCCGUUUUGUGUUUUAAAAAUGCACGUGCUUCUCUGCUCAGCAUAUCCUGGAACUGGCCUCCGGGAAGGGCGCUGGGCAGGGUGGCUGGUCGGGGACAGCGGCUCUUCUCUGAACGCCUUUCGUACGGCUUGGCCCGUUUGCCGUGCGUGGAUUGCGCAGCGGACUCUGCUGCGCCGAAAGCGGACUAGCAGCGCGCACCCUGGUGGCCGCUCGCGCCUCGUUCCCUUCGCGCCUGCUCCCGGCUGCGCCCAGGGCGGACGCGGCGCGUUCGGUUUCCCAACCCGGUAGAACCCACUCGUGAGCCGUCGGGAGGCAGAGUGUGAGAGCAGCCGGCGGUGCUGGACCGUGGCGGACCCAGGACACGAAUCGGGAAUAUCCCAGCAUAACCCACCUUAACCCAGAUGACAGCCAUGGGUGGUGAUCUACCCAGGAUGCCCUGGCCUGGAUGGACCAGCUAGGGAAACAUUCAACUGUGAGGAGAGAGCCCUUCCUAGCCCCCAGGGCCAUCUACUUCCAGCCACUCCACCGGCCUGGACCCAGCCCUGAUGCCCCUGGGCUGUCUGUGGCCCUGAAACGGAAGGGGGCACCUCACACCUCCAGCUCUGCUCCGUUCUGACCAGUGGGGCCUCUGCCUCCCAGCAGAGCCACCACGAGGAACUUCCACCUUUUCCUGACCCACGUCCAAUCCGCCAGCCAGUCCUGAGGGCCGGCUGCCCCCAUCUCAAGGCCGUGACAUCCCUGCUGCCGCCACGUGGUCCUCGCUGCCGCCAGCUCUCCGCUGGCUCCCUCCACUUCUCUGUCUCCCAGGUGGUCACCCUGCACCUGCCCCUCCUUCUCGGGUCUCUGCCGCUCCUGGAGGCUGACCUGCAGGGCUGCGCCCCUUGGGCCUCACCCUGAGCGUCUGCUUUGCUUCUCCCAACAGGAGGCCCCGGCAGGCAGUGGGGGGCUGGGACAGAGAGAGGGCGGGGAGAUUCCCUCCUUCCUGCCACGGUCCUGGCUUCCGCCUCCUGCCCGCUGCCCCUCUGGCAGGAGCCCUGUCAUGAACUCACUGUCGUUGACUUCACACCGUUCGGGUGUGUCGUCUUGUUUUUCGGGGACACCGGGGACAGCGCUGACCCACACGCCCGACAGCCCCUUUGCCCGCAACAGUGGGACAGUCUUUCUGAAAACCUGAAUCUGGGCCAGUCUCUCCCUAGCUUAAGCAGUGGACUGCUUCUGCUUCGAGAACACAGACAAAACUCUUUAUUACCAUCUACGAGGGUGUUGGUUAAAUUAGGGGUCGGGAGGUUAACUGACUGCAUUGCAUUUCUUUCCUUUCUUUUUCUCCCUUCUUUUAAUGACACUGGAGCAGAGAGAUUAGCAGAGGUAAGGGAAUAGAAAUCACCAGCACUCACAGCAGAGGCCCGAGUUAGGGGAUGGUUUUGGUAACAUGCAAGCUGGUUGAGCCAGAAGGUGAUGUCUUACUGUGGAUGCCAAAUGUUGGGGACCCCUGCCCUGCCCUCUCCCCUCUCCACAGCCCCCACUUCACCCCCACAUCCACCUGGCUCAAGGCCUCAGCUUCCUGUCAGUGCCUCAAACAUGCAGGCCCAUUCCUGCCUCAGGGCCUUUGCACCUACUCUUCUCUUGGCCUGACUGCCCUUCCGUCUGCUCUUCUCAGGGCUCCUUCUCACUCCAACAUCACCUCCUCAGAGAGGACCUCCGAGGUUGGCCCACCCGAAGCAGGUUCCCCCUGUCUUCUUUUUUCUAUCACGAGACAUUGUUCCAUCAGAAUCUCCAUGAGGACACAAAGACCUGUUGUGUGUCAGUGACUGUCCUAGCACUUUUCCUCAUCUGUAGUUACCUGUCUCCUGGCUUACCCCCUGGGAAUAAAAGCUCCCAGAAGGUAGGCCCUGGUCUCUACUGUUAACUGCACUGUCCCCAGAUAGUUCUGGGCGCACAGUAAGUGCUCAGUACAUGCCUGUGAGUGCUGCCAGGACAGGGCGGCUUUGUGGCGCUGUACUCCCAGGGUGCCUGGCGUGCCCGGCAACCCAGGAUGGGGGCUGGGAGUCAGAGGAGGGGGGUCGAGGGCCCUUGGAAUCAGACCUGCAGCCCCCCUGCCUGCCCUGGGCCCCGCGUGGCCUCCCCGCCCUCCCUGCCAUCAGCUCGCCGAGACGCACCAGGAGACCCUCAUCCGCCUCCACCGCUGGCCCUCUCGACCUUGGAAGUCGAGGCAGCACCGUCUGGCUGGAGGACGGAGGGACGCGAUGCAGCAGACCUGCUGCGAGAUUGAUGUGCAGCUUGACGCUGGUAAUAAAUCACCACGAAUCACGGGCGGGGUGGCCCUGGCCGUGUGGCCGUGGAUAAGCGGCUCCUUGUCCCACGAUGGCUUGUCCGUCACCUGGGACGGUGGCAGCGCCUGAAAUGCCAGCGUCUGCCCCCUCACCUGGUAGCCGCUCCUGAAUCCUCUUCCGAAAGCAAAGGCCUCUGGGACAGGCU